rnacentral:misc_RNA from 1 species
AACACUGUUAACCUGCGGUACCUGCGGAAGGAUCAUUAAUGAGUGUAAUCUACCCCUUAAAAAAGGGUGGUACCUCCCCGUCCUUUGCAGGCCCCCCCCCUUUUUUGGGGGGUGGGACUUUUUUAAGACUUUCUGCUUCGGCGGGGUUAUUCCCGCCGGAACACCCUCAAAAAUCUCUCAAAAAAUCGUUCAGUCCGAGAAAAUUGAAAAUAUAAAAAAAACUUUCAACAAUGGAUCUCA